CUGCCUUUCUCCUCACUGCAGCCUCCGGCCUAGGCUCCCCAGCCCAGGCCCCUCCUCCAGGCACGCCUGGGCCCCUCAGCCCAGGCCCUGGCCGGCUACAAGUGCAGGAAGUCAGAACUUCCCCUCACCACAAGUUCCUGUUUGGAGGAGACAGAAGCCAAAGGAAACCACCACCCCUUCAGAGCUGGAAACAGGGGAUCUCAGUCACGAAGCACCCCAUCACCAGGCUCCAGAUCUUCAGAGGCCUGCCUCCAGGAUGGGCUCCUAGCGCUGCCACAGGAUGAUGCCUACUUCACAGUUGUUCGAGCUAAGCACGUGACAAGUACUCAGCGAAGGGAGACACGGGGGAUCGCUGUUAGCCCUAUCUGUACGGCAGAUGUCUCCACAGCUAGCGCUGGUGAGUUCUGACUCCCACCUGCCCCUCCACCGGCUGAGCUGUUCACACCCCCACCUUCUGGGCCACCCCCUGCUGGGCCCCUCCCCAGGACCAGAGCUGCGGGACUCAGGGCCCACCCACCAGCCCAGAUAGUGUAUUCCCCUCCGGCAAGCGCCCACUCACCGAUCCUGUGAGUCUGCAGGUGCCGCUGCACCUCUCCAGGUGUCGGGCUGGCCCCCAGGCA